rnacentral:sRNA from 1 species
GUGUGUGGUGGGCAAUGUGGUUGCAACAUCUAUCACACUAUUGGUCACCAUUCAGCUGAUCUGGCUGGCUAGGUAAAGUUCCCUUCCUCCCUUACCACCCCAUCUGUGUACUUCUUGCUGCAUGCCCAGAAGAGGAGAGCCUUCCUGGAUAGUACAGGUCUGUUAUUCUCUUUAAGUGAAUAUGAGCAAAGCAAUCAGAAAAAGAAGCUCUCAAAAAAAAAAAAACUCUCAGAAAAAUGGGCUUGAGCAAAUGACAUACUUGGAAAGAUGACAUGCUUGUUAAGCUAUGUAAUAUUU